rnacentral:rRNA from 1 species
UACGUAGGGUGCAAGCGUUGUCCGGAAUUAUUGGGCGUAAAGAGCUCGUAGGCGGUCUGUCGCGUCGGCUGUGAAAACCUGGGGCUUAACUCCGGGCCUGCAGCCGAUACGGGCAGACUAGAGUUCGGCAGGGGAGACUGGAAUUCCUGGUGUAGCGGUGAAAUGCGCAGAUAUCAGGAGGAACACCGAUGGCGAAGGCAGGUCUCUGGGCUGUAACUGACGCUGAGGAGCGAAAGCAUGGGGAGCAAACAGG